UGCNGGAGUUNCGGGUGUUGUACGGAUCCGAAUGGACUGUCUGCAUUCGUCUUCUCUUGUGGAUUGUCGCAUUUCCCGGCAGUGUGCGUCAACAGCUGUUGGGACCGGACGAAAAGCCCCGCAAGAAGGUAGCUGGCUCCGGCUAGUGUUAUAGCUUGUGGUGUGCGAGUUCGGGCCCGACAGAGGAGUCGCGGCACAUGCUCUUUUGGGCUGGCCUCUCUCUUCUCAGUUCGUUGUCGACCAUAGCGGACUGCACGCAGUGCGUUUGAACUGCUGCGGACUGUCGAGGGGAAGAGUGCACACAUUGUGCCAAGGUUGUUGGCGGUCAUAUGAUUUCAUACGACCCGUCUUGAAACACGGACCAAGGAGUCUAACAUGUGUGCGAGUCUUAGGGUGACAGAAACCCGCAGGCACAAUGAAAGUAAAGGCUGCUUGCAGCUGAAGUGAGAUCUCCUCUUAACGGGGAGCGCAUCAUUGACCGACCUAUUCUACUCUUAGAAAGGUUUGAGUAAGAGCACAUCUGUUGGGACCCGAAAGAUGGUGAACUAUGCUUGAGUAGGGCGAAGCCAGAGGAAACUCUGGUGGAGGCUCGUAGCGAUUCUGACGUGCAAAUCGAUCGUCAAACUUGAGUAUAGGGGCGAAAGACUAAUCGAACCAUCUAGUAGCUGGUUCCCUCCGAAGUUUCCCUUAGGAUAGCUGGAACUCGGAACAGUUUUAUCAGGUAAAGCGAAUGAUUAGAGGUCUUAGGGUUGAAACAACCUUAACCUAUUCUCAAACUUUAAAUUGGUAAGAAGCCCGACUUGCUUAAUUGAAGUAGGGCACAGAAUGAGAGUUCUUAGUGGGCCAUUUUUGGUAAGCAGAACUGGCGAUGCGGGAUGAACCGAACGCUGAGUUAAGGCGCCUAAAUCGACGCUCAUCAGACCCCACAAAAGGUGUUGGUUGAUCCAGACAGCAGGACGGUGGCCAUGGAAGUCGGAAUCCGCUAAGGAGUGUGUAACAACACACCUGCCGAAUCAACUAGCCCUGAAAAUGGAUGGCGCUCAAGCGUCGUGCCUAUACUCAGCCGUCAGAGUAAAUAGCGAAGCUCUGACGAGUAGGAGGGCGUGGGGGUCGUGGUGAAGCCUUUGGCGUGAGCCUGGGUGAAACGGCCUCUAGUGCAGAUCUUGGUGGUAGUAGCAAAUAUUCAAAUGAGAACUUUGAAGACCGAAGUGGAGAAAGGUUCCAUGUGAACAGCAGUUGGACAUGGGUUAGUCGAUCCUAAGAGAUAGGGAAACUCCGUUUCAAAGUGCCCAAUCUUGGGCCAUUUAUCGAAAGGGAAUCGGGUUAAUAUUCCCGAACCGGAACGCGGAUAUUCUGCUCCUUCCGGGGCAGAUUUGCGGUAACGCAACUGAACUCGGAGACGUCGGCAGGAGCCCUGGGAAGAGUUCUCUUUUCUUGUUAACGACCUGACACCAUGGAAUCUGAUUGCCAGGAGAUAUGGUUUAAUGGUCGGUAAAGCACCACACUUCUUGUGGUGUCCGGUGCGCUCUUGAAGGCCCUUGAAAAUCCGAGGGAAAGAUUGAUUUUCGCGUCCGUUCGUACUCAUAACCGCAGCAGGUCUCCUAGGUGAGCAGCCUCUGGUCGAUAGAACAAUGUAGGUAAGG
rnacentral:rRNA from 1 species